rnacentral:misc_RNA from 1 species
AACGGUCUAUACCUGCGGUACCUGCGGAAGGAUCAUUACUGAGUGAGGGCCCUCUGGGUCCAACCUCCCACCCGUGUUUAACGAACCUUGUUGCUUCGGCGGGCCCGCCUCACGGCCGCCGGGGGGCAUCCGCCCCCGGGCCCGCGCCCGCCGAAGACACCUGUGAACUCUGUCUGAAGUUGCAGUCUGAGAAACUAUUUAAAUUAGUUAAAACUUUCAACAAUGGAUCUCUAGAUCGGA